AAAGAUUAAAAGAAUAAGGGCACACAAGGGAUGCCUAGGUAGAAAGAGCCGAAGAAGGACGUGGUAAGCUGCGAUAAGCUUGGCGAAGUUGCAAACGAACGUAGAUGCCAAGAUUUCCGAAUGGAGCAAUCUGUAAAGAGUCAUGUCUUUACACGAAAGAGGGAACCGGGUGAACUGAAACAUCUAAGUAAUCCGAGGAAAAGAAAGUAACAACGAUACCCUAAGUAGCGGCGAGCGAACGGGGUAGAGCCUAAACCGUAUUCAUGUCAAGGAUGCAGCCGUUGUGGAUAUGGGGUAGCGGGAAAGAGAGAGAAAGAACUGCAAGCUAUUUCGCAGACGCAGGCAAAGGAACAAGAAAGAUCUGGAAAGGUCUACCGAAGAAGGUGAAAGU
rnacentral:rRNA from 1 species